UCAGUUUAAAUAAAAGAGCAUGAGACGUAUCGUUUGUAUUUGGUUUUAUAUGUUCGUGAUUUGAAGCCUGGGCCAACAAUUGGUAUCAGAGCUUGGUCAAGAGCCGAAGAAGAGAAGCCGAAGCAACGAUCGAUCACACGUUCAAGAUCUAUUAAGCCGAACUCGACCAGGGAAGACGGAGAUGAAUAGAGGAUCACCGAGUAAGUUUAUCUGUCUACUUAUACCAUUUGAUUAUCGUAGUAGAAAAAAGAAAAAGAAAAAAAAAGGAGAAGCGUUCGAAGAAUGAAAACGUUGUGCAGUGAACUUGAUAUCUUUUAAUUGAUGUUAAAAGUGGUUUCGUGGAUGAAAGAUUUGUAAAUAAUUAAUUAUGGGUCCAUGGAGUCAAUGUUUAUGGAUAAAAAUUAAAAAAAUGUUGCAAGGGUGAACGCAUGUAAGUUACUAGAGAGUUGCCAUACAUGAGAUGGAACAUCAAACUUGGCUUGGUUUGGCGGCAAGGUAAAAACGAUUGAAGUCGGUGGAAAGAGUUCAUGACUCCAGGUGAAUCAGGUUUAUGUGGAACUCCAAUAAAGAGAGUGAAGUCAAUUCUAAUAAAGGAGGUGGUCGAAUCCGUAACCAGCUAGGUUGUGUCCAUGCGAAGCUGUAAUUCGAUCAACGAGAAGAUUGAAUCCGUUAAUAGCUAAGUCGAAAAAUCCGUGUGAAGACAAGGAGAAGAUCAACGAUCAAGAGUAGGAAAGUACCGAGAAGAUGAGACCGUUUUAGGUUGUGUGGAAGCAGCCAAUCUCGUCGAAAUUGAAGAAGUUUAAUCACUCUGUUUAAGUGACCAGAACAGAAAUCAUUCCGUUUAAGUGAUCAGAAUAGGUGUGGCAAUCUUAUAUCCGAUGAAGAUGUGACCGGAUCCGACAAGAUCAGGGCCAAGAAAUCAAAGAAGGUGCAAAAUCUUGUAAUUUGAUCAAUGUGUGAUUGAAUCCGACAAGAUCCGUGCGAGUAAUAAGGAACGUGUGAAAUCUUGUAAUUCGAUUACGGAGUAAUCGAAUCCGGCAAGAUCAGUUACACAUAAGUUGGUAUUUUGUGGAUAGUUUCUACCGUUAUAGAAACCAGUUGCUACCACAAACAGAUUAUACCAUCAAGGAAGAGUUCAUAGUCAAAGAACAGCGGAUCAACCAGUGUAGUUUGAUCAUUCGACUCAGAUUUAAUCACAACCUGUGUGAGUUGCGAUCAGAUUUCGGACAAGACCGGAUGUGAAGCGGGUCCAAAUCAGAAUUAAGGGGGUGAAUGAAGAGAUAAUUCUGAUUUGAAAUAUUAUCUGGAAAGUUAAUACGGGUUAAAGAUAAUAUAAGUUAGUUAGAGAUAAAAUUAGUUUGAAUUAUUUAUUUAUUAGAUAGGUCUAUUUAAAUUAUAGUUUGAGUUGGACUAGAAAUAGUUUAUGUUUAGUAUAAAUAUAGGGUUAUGUAUUCAGUUUUAUUUGUCGAGUUCAGAUUAAAUAAAAGAGCAUGAGACAUAUCGUUUG
rnacentral:lncRNA from 1 species